UCGUCCUGGAGAGAGCUUUGCGGCACCUGGCCUUGCGGGUCCUGUGUGACAAUGGGUCUACCGACUGGUGGGAUUCCUGUGUCGCAGGCUCGCUGGGCCGGGUUCGUGACGUCAUAAAACAUGAAGGUAGCUGAAUCCAGGCCAGAACUAACAUUUGCUCCACACUGGGUCUCAAAAAGUGCUACACCUAGUUCUCACCUCCAACCAUAAUGUCCACUUGGCACCAGUAGGACCAAAGUAUAUCCCCUGCCCUUGGUUGAUUAUGCGAAUGACACCUUUGAGGGCCUUCCAGGAAUAGCAUUCAGGCCCAAGUC